rnacentral:pre_miRNA from 1 species
UCAAACCGAAGCACAAUAGGAACAUUUCUCCAUCGCCGUCCGCAAUCCGUCCGCAAUCCGAUAUUAUAAAUAUAUCAUAUAUUAAUAUAUAUAUUAAUAUUAUUCUGAAUAUUCAGAAUAUAUAUUAAUAUAUGAUAUAUUCAUAAUAUCGGAUUGCGGACGGAUUGCGGACGGCGAUGGAGAAAUGUUCCUAUUGUGCUUCGGUUAGU